rnacentral:rRNA from 1 species
AUUGAACGCUGGCGGCAGGCCUAACACAUGCAAGUCGAGCGGGGUUUUCGGACCUAGCGGCGGACGGGUGAGUAAUGCGUAGGAAGCUGCCCGAUAGAGGGGGAUACCAGUUGGAAACGACUGUUAAUACCGCAUAAUGUCUACGGACCAAAGUGUGGGACCUUCGGGCAACAUGCUAUCGGAUGCGCCUACGUGGGAUUAGCUAGUUGGUGAGGUAAUGGCUCACCAAGGCGACGAUCUCUAGCUGGUUUGAGAGGAUGAUCAGCCACACUGGAACUGAGACACGGUCAGACUCCUACGGGAGGCAGCAGUGGGGAAGAUUGGACAAUGGGCGCAAGCCUGAUCCAGCCAUGCCGCGUGUGUGAAGAAGGCCUUCGGGUUAUAAAGCACUUUCAGCGAGGAGGAAGGGGUGUGUGUUAAUGGUACACACCUUUGACGUUACUCGCAGAAGAAGCACCGGCUAACUCUGUGCCAGCCGCUGCCGUAAAAC